GACUGCUCAAGGCACCGCUGGGGGCCUGCGUUGGUGAUUGUGACAACACACUCGUGAGAGGAGCAACCGCUGUUCCUGGUGGAAUUACUAUGUCUGGCUCAGGGAUGUCAGCAGGCAGGUGCUGCAGCUCAAAUUCCUCCACUUUAGCAAUGUAGUCUUUCCCCGUCCCCAUCAGUAACUUGAACACCUCCGAGGUCAUGGAUAUUGACUUCUUCACCCCUCUGCUGUUCCAAUUAGUAAGCUGGUGGUAUUGGAGCCUGCGGUGGGAGACUGCUCGAGGCACCGCUGGGGGCCUGCUGUGGUGAUUGUGACAACACACUCGUGAGAGGAGCAACCGCUGUUCCUGGUGGAAUUACUAUGUCUGGCUCAGGGAUGUCAGCAGGCAGGUGCUGCAGCUCAAAUUCCUCCACUUUAGCAAUGUAGUCUUUCGCCGUCCCCAUCAGUAACUUGAACACCUCCGAGGUCAUGGAUAUUGACUUCUUCACCCCUCUGCUGUUCCAAUUAGUAAGCUGGUGGUAUUGGAGCCUGCGGUGGGAGACUGCUCGAGGCACCGCUGGGGGCCUGCGUUGGUGAUUGUGACAACACACUCGUGAGAGGAGCAACCGCUGUUCCUGGUGGAAUUACUAUGUCUGGCUCAGGGAUGUCAGCAGGCAGGUGCUGCAGCUCAAAUUCCUCCACUUUAGCAAUGUAGUCUUUCGCCGUCCCCAUCAGUAACUUGAACACCUCCGAGGUCAUGGAUAUUGACUUCUUCACCCCUCUGCUGUUCCAAUUAGUAAGCUGGUGGUAUUGGAGCCUGCGGUGGGAGACUGCUCGAGGCACCGCUGGGGGCCUGCUGUGGUGAUUGUGACAACACACUCGUGAGAGGAGCAACCGCUGUUCCUGGUGGAAUUACUAUGUCUGGCUCAGGGAUGUCAGCAGGCAGGUGCUGCAGCUCAAAUUCCUCCACUUUAGCAAUGUAGUCUUUCGCCGUCCCCAUCAGUAACUUGAACACCUCCGAGGUAAUGGAUAUUGACUUCUUCACCCCUCUGCUGUUCCAAUUAGUAAGCUGGUGGUAUUGGAGCCUGCGGUGGGAGACUGCUCGAGGCACCGCUGGGGGCCUGCGUUGGUGAUUGUGACAACACACUCGUGAGAGGAGCAACCGCUGUUCUUGGUGGAAUUACUAUGUCCGGCUUAGGGAUGUGAGCAUUCAGGUGCUGCAGCUCAAAUUCCUCCACUUUAGCAAUGUAGUCUUUCGCCGUCCCCAUCAGUAACUUGAACACCUCCGAGGUCAUGGAUAUUGACUUCUUCACCCUCUGCUGUUC